CCCUUAGAUGUCCUGGGCCGCACGCGCGCUACACUGAACGGAUCAGCGCGUUUUCCCUUCCCGAGAGGGACGGGUAACCUGCUGAACCCCGUUCGUGGUAGGGAUCGGGGCUUGCAAUUAUUCCCCGUGAACCAGGAAUGCCCAGUAAGUGCAAGUCAUAAGCUUGCGUUGAUUACGUCCCUACCCUUUGUACACACCGCCCGUCGCUACUACCGAUUGAACGUUUUAGUGAGGUACUCGGACUGAGCCUCAGAAGAUUCACGUCUUUUGUGCUGCUCGGGAAGAUUCCCAAACUUGAGCGUUUAGAGGAAGUAAAAGUCGUAACA
rnacentral:rRNA from 1 species